CCCCCCCCCCCCCCGGCACCCCUCCCAGCCCGAACUGUGUGCGCCUGAAGGUGCCCUCCUUGCAAUACAGUGAAUCUUUUGGAGAGAUGGGUUCCCCGUGCUUGAAUUAAAAAAAAAAUGUAAAUGAAGAGCCAGCCCGGUCAGCAGACACUCCUCCUGAAGGACAUCUAUGAUGCUGUUCAUUCACUCCUUCAACUUCAAAGCAGAGAGAAAAGCAUGGAUGACAGAGCCGGGAGCGGGGGUACAAAGGUACUCACAACAAGAGGAAAAAUGCCUGUUUACAGGAUCGCAUUUGUUAGCACACUCUGUUCAGAUAUUGUUCCCCCAGGAAUAGCGAGAAUAUGUGCGGCACGAACAAUGAUUUAACAUCUGAAAAUGGUACUUAAAGAGUUUCUGUCUGGUAGUAAUGUGAUGAAGGCUUCGGAAGGGAACCUGGGGACUUCAUUUCUUCUAUUUAUCUAUAUGUCUCUCUGGUUUUAGUCAGAGGUAAUUGCAUAUUUAACCCCUCAAAUAGCUUUAACCCUCGAGGUGCCAAGAUUUUCCCCUGUUCGAAAUGUGCUUUUAUCCCAGCAGAGGCAGACUUGGCAUUCCCUUGAAAAGAAUUAUUUAAAUUUUGAAAGUGUGUGUGUGUGUGUGUGUGUGUGUGUGUGUGUGUGUAUGAAAAGAAAUAGCCACGUUGAGGGAUUAGAUGUAGGGAAAGAAGCCUGCCCUACCUCUCUUGUGUGGAAGAGAAGCAGUUAAAAUACAAAUAUCAAGAAGAAUGAAAACUUAAAAGGAAUAAAAGAGAAGAAGGAACGACAGAACCGUGUUUUUAUUUGGGUUCCAUUGUGGCUUGAGCUUAGGGAGAAAAGAGAAGGCACUCGCGGCCCACGAGAAGUUGUAGAUGGACCCUAAAUCAAGAGUAUAAAUUUGUCGCUUGCCUCGGCAAUAUGGUUUUCUCAAUUAGUGGUCGUUCUGGGAGGCCCGCUUAACAGCUUAUGUGAAACAAAUAUUAACACAAAUUGCAUAAUGACAUCAAAAUCCCAAAUUCCUCAAAGAUGCAAAAACGGUUUUCAGCUAAGCACACGCCAGCAAUAAAACAUCCUAUAGUCAAAGGAAGCACACUCUAAGGCAACCACGAGACUGGAUCCGAGCGACUUUCACAGUUUAUUUUCAUGGUAUUUAAAUUAUGAUACCAGUGGGUAUUUUUAAUUAGUGUGCACUUGUCUACAUAAGCCAUGUUGGCAAAUUUGACUCAUUCAUACAGUAGUUGCUGUAAAAGAGGCCAGCACAGCCUGCAGGAAUUAAAAUUAAAAGUUUCUGCAAGCUGUUGUCGACAUGACCAUAUCUCAUUAACUUUAAAAAUGGAGAUUAUUUGCCUGAAAGCUUGAUUUGACUAGCAGUAAUCAAAUAUUAGGCUCAACGAAGGGAAAGGUGGUGGGGGGAGAGCGUCAUUGUUGUGAUAUAUAUUGCUAAGUAUUUUGCAGUUCCCUUUAAAUAGCGUUAUAAGAUUUCUGUUUUGACAAAAGGGAUAGGGAAGAGAAACACAGACAUAUGGCCUCAAAAGUAUUAUUAGGAUAGUUUUAUUUUAGAUUAAGACUCAUUAUUUACUAAGUUCGCUGAAGACAAAUACGAUUGUGCUGAUUACCAAUUCUUCCCUCAUUAAGGAGGCAGCUUAAUUAUCUGGAGUGGCUUCCCCUGCCUGAUCAAAGUUUUAAACAUUGGAAACGGGGCCUAUCUCAUGAUUAUCUUUCCUUUUUUCAACUAGUAAAUUGGCAUGAACCCUAAAUUUGUACGUUGGAUUCAUCCCAUUGUUUUAACUAAAUAUGAUGAAGAAGGUUGCAAAAUUGUGCAUAAAAUGAAGGAAAAUGGAAGAGCCCUCAUCUUAUCUCAUCUACUUUUCUAAAUAGCUUGUUAUUUGAAUUAGGUAUCUAAGCAAAAAAUCUCUUUCUGCCAGUAAUUAAGGAGUCCGAUGUGGAAAAACCUGAAGUUAUUGAAAUAUGGUAGACCCGGUCUCAUUUUAGAUCUUGUUUUAUAUUUUCACACGCACAAAGAAACAUUUGUAAUGCAUAGGUGCAAACUGUAAAAUGAAGAUGCAUUUUGGGGGGGGGGGGAGGAAGGGAAGAAAAAAAGGUGCAGUUAAACAAAAGACCGAAGAUAAAGUCUUACGCCUUUUUAUGUCUUUGAACUGAGAACAUGUUCUGCAUUUUACUCAAGGAACAUGAGGCUAGAAUGUAAGUAACUGGUUUUUGCAUUAGGCUCUCCCUGGAGGUAGCAGAAAAAUAUCAUGUCCCUGCAUGAAAUGCGAAUGUGAAAUCUACCAGAAAGAAAUAUUUAUGACCAUUUUAUGCUUGAUUAGGCUUGGAUGACAUCUGUUAGAAGACAGGGACUGGACAAAGAGAGAGACGCUCGGGGGCAAAUGUUAACGGAGUUGUUUAGACGACGCUAGGGCAGAGGCGUCCAUUUACUGCCAGGCAAAACACAGGAAUUGUGUUAGCAAGAGGGCAGCUGACAAGAAUCCCCCGUGAUAGAGACACUGUAAACGGACUCGAUGGGCUCGUCAAAUACAGCUGUUGGUAGCCACUGCCGUACCUCAGUUUCUGAGCAGGUAUCUAGGAGCAGCCCUGAUCCGGUGACUCCCAGGGAGCCAGACGCCUUAAUAAAGUUACACACAUGUGACUCAGCUAUAAAUGAUCAUCUUCAGUUUUUCAAGUGAGUUUUACAUCCUCCUGCCCGGCGGACUUAGCCGGACCAGGAGACACUUCUGUAUUUCUCAGUGAAAGGGGAACCCAUUAAAUGACACACUUUGCCACCGUACAUUUCUGCAACCUACGUUUGUUUGGUUUUUUUUUUUUUUCCCCUUAACCUAAGUCUCCCCCUGUUUUAAAAAAAAAAAAAAUAACCCCCUCCGUUCUAUAGAAGCACUUCAUCACUUGAAACAGUGCAAAUGUUUGCCUGAACAAGAAAAAAAAAAAAAGUCUGCCAACACUGGCAAACAUUUUAUCAAUUGUUAAACAUUUCAGUGUUAAAGUAAGUGCUGUUUGUCUGAAGAAAUGGCUCUACCAAGAGUGGAGGUAUGAGCAGUUAUUACAUUCUGGUUCUUUUCCCAGCUUCUUUUCCUGUAAAUUUUCUCUGUCUGGAAUGCUGAUGGGAAAUGUUAUUUUGUUUUUGUUUGCAGCAGUUCUGUUGUUUUGAUUUUGUCUGAGUGGUAUGGAAAACAGUACGUCACUUAGAGUGGGUGUUUUGUCUACCGGCCAUUUGGCCAUUGCACAUAUAUUUCUCAUACUUAUUACAUGAUGACAAGGGAACAGCAAAGGCACAAUUUUCCAGUUGAAUUUUUCUUUCCAGUUUAAUAAUAGCGAAAAAAAGAAAACAAAGUUAAUAGAUUUAGCAGUGUGAUGGUACUCGCGAUGUGAUAGCUGACUUGAGGUGGUUUUAUGUUUUUUCAUUGUUUUUUUUUUUUUUUUUUUUUUUUUUUUGUUUCGUGCCUGUGGUUCAGGAGCUAUUUAGGGGAAGGUCAGAUUAAUGCAUAUAUCAGUUUCUAUAAUAAACUGCAUGUGGAUAGCAUUUCACAUUCUGCAGAGUUGUGAAACGUUGUAAUUUAAGUAGGAAAAUUCAUAAAAGGAUAAUCAACAAUUUUAACAUCAUUCCUGUGAUUAGCCUGGGUACUCUUGCCCUGGUUUUAGGCCGCAUGUAACAUAACCUCUACCAAUAAAUGCAUUUCAAUUAAAACGAAUUGAAAUGAAAUUUGGACGAAAACCCAAAAUACAAAUCUCAAAGAAUAACUUAAGGCUGUUUACUGGCUCAGUUUGGACAUGCUUUAUCUGAAAUCAUUCUCCACAUUUGCAAUGUUAAGGAACAUAUUGCAAAGAGUGUAGAAGUUAGCUCUACAAGUAAGUAAUUUUUGGUGUAGUACAAAAAUAUAAAAUGGAAAUGAUGAUUAAUUUUUCAAUUUCUCUCUGCAGAUAUCUAAUCAUUGUACCCAUGGACCGCCAAAGGCUCCCAUUAAAGAUUUAAAAUGCAAGAGGAAGGUAGAAUCCAAAAGAUGGGAUUUGGGAUUAAAUAAUGUAAAAUAACUGCAGGGCAGUAGCGAAGUAAAAGCUAUUGGCACAAUAAGAUUCUUUCGGACUUUUUUCAACAAUCCACUUAAAAUAUCGACACCUCCUUACAUACAAUGCCCUAGAUGUGGUGUUCAUAAAAUUAUUUAUAACCCCGACUAAAUGAUGAAACCAUGUUUUUGUUUUAGGUUACACCAGUUAAUAACAACAGCACCCAUCGGAAGAGCUCUGUGAAAAUGCACGCGGAUGUCCUCCGUGCUUUAAAUAUUAUCCUCUUUAUUAAAGGAUUUUGCCUGCAGUUACACUAAAUAUAUGUUGCUUCUUCCUUGAGGAUUUUCAUUUUAGAUGGGGAAAUGCAGUGUUUGGGGGUCACCAGAGUAUGUACAGCAUGAUUUUCUUCAAAUCAAGGGAACUUUUAUAAUCCUGGAAGAAGGGGACAUUGCCGCCUCGGUAUAUAAAAGCUGUCAGUAAGGUCCAGCCGGGCCUCUCGGAGCUCGCUGUACUGUCUUUAUCACUUUGCUCAGUUCCACAUAAUAACAUCUUCAUCUGAGAUUGCUGUGGCACAGGGGAACUGCAUUUGUUGAUCAAAUUUGGCUGGAUAACACUGUGAUCUCGUAUCCUGAAGUGCGGAGAUGUGCCUGGAAUAUGUAAGUGCAAAGCUAGCCCCUUGAUUGAUUGAUUCUGCCUGUCACAGAACAAGAUAACCGGAUCAGUAAAUACUCUGUGCACUUCAGCAUCAUCUCCACAAUCAAAAGUGAGGGCAUCAUGGGGCUGGAAAACACUGGGUCAUGAUGGGAAUGCACACAUUUCAGAAUGAUCAUUGGGAAUAUAUAUAUAUAUAUAUAUAUAUAUAUAUAUAUGUACAUACAUGCGCAUACACAUACAUUCGCACGCAAACACACAAAAAAUUCUUUGUGUGUGGUUUCUUAGAAGGGAACAGUGUAAAAAAAAAAAAACAGUAUUUUCUGUAUGUUUAGAACGCUUCCUGGUUAUAAAAGUCGAGUUUAUUUUGCAGCUGUCAUCUUAGAGGUGUACAACAUUUAUCAUAAAAAGUUGUUAUUCGAGUUUUGUUUACAGAAGAGAUUUAGAAUGCAGAUUAGGGAAACGGAGCUGGAUAAGAGGUCAGUAGUGGUCUCAAGCAUAAAGGGAGCUUGCACCCAAGAUUUGCUCCUCUUAAAAUAAACUUUUUGUUUAAACAGAUGGGCCGAACACAUGUAAACAAGUUGUUUAAACUUUUACUAAAUUCCCAGGGAGUGCCUUUCAAAAUUAGCAUGCGUUGCCAAAUUUCUUUAAUUGCACAGAGUUCAAGAAGAGUUUAAAGAACGCAACUGUGCGAGUCUUUGGGAGAUGGGACGAUCACAGGUCACCAGGUGGCACGCAUUAUUCCAUUAUUCGUGGUGCCUUGAUGUCCCUCACCCCCGCACACCCCCGCCCCCGCCGGAAUGGCACUUGUGCCCCACUCGCUUGUGCUGCCUCUCCUCUGUUUGUCCUCUCCUUUAAAACUCUAAGUUUCUUGAAGGCAAGGGCAGCCUUGGAUUGCUGGGUGUGUGCCCUAGGGUUUCCGGAAGCCCGCCCUCUGCAGACUCUGUGCCACGUGGCAAGUGAGAGGAGGAGGAACUGAGCGUUGGGCUCUCUUUUCUAAAUGUUUUUCACAUUCAUGCUUCUGAGAUUGCACUGGUCUCCGCCCAUGGGGAGUGCUCUAACCCCAAGUCCUUCUUUUGGGGAACUUCAGUGUUGAAGUCCAGCAACCUAACCAGUCUUUUGUCCUGUGUUUUCCUGCUGUUAAGUGGGAGAUUGCCAUCAGUGGCUCAAACAGACUGUUUCUGUGACCACCAGCCACACACAGUUGCUUAAAGAUAAUGCUGCUUCUCAUUUUGUAUGUAGAGAAUGCAAAUCGUCAUGAGGAAGUGCCCCAGGCCAGUGACUGAGAAACUUCGGUGUUGCCCACCUCACAAGUGAAUUUUUGCAGAGCCCUCCGAGCGGUUUAGGACUUUCUGGGUGGCCUGCUGGUCAUCUCAGGUGCCUCUGAGGUGGGUGACGUGUUGAUUCACCAGCCAAGGGGUUUUUGGUUUUUGUUUUUUUCUGUUUAGCUUGGCUGGAAUCAGUACGUACCCUCUUUUGUACCAUUUUCGAUAUGUCUGCUUAGUCCUUUGUGACUUAGUUAUUUUUUUAUUUGAAAUGAUUAAAAAGGCCUUUUGGCAGAACGGGCCCCCUUUCUUAAUUUUUUGAAUAUUAAAGAAAGCAUUAAUUGAGUUUAAUGUUCUCAAAACAAAAAAAUUUGUGAGGUGCUGAUGAUUUGAGAGCAGUCAUCUGGGAGAGGUUUUGAUUUUUUUUUUUUUUUAACCAAAAAAAAAAAAAAAUGUGGUGCUCCCUUUCAAUUUGGUGAAAGCUAUUCCUAGUAACGUUUUAUAAAAUCAUUUUCUUUUCAGGGUGUGUUUUAUUUCCUUUCCAUCUCUUUCAGGAAAGAGAAAGUGUUUUAUUGGAUAUUUUUGUUUCAGUCCUUGUUUCCAUUAUUUUUGCCAAAAUUCAUGGGAGUUCACUUUCCGUUUAAAUGCCUGAAAUAUUCCUUGAAGAAUCUGCAUUUUGGGACAACUAGGAAAAAGGCUAUGUAAAUUGGUUUAAGGAAGAAAAACAGUUGUUACCGGAGUCCUCUCAGCCACUUGCUUUUUCCCUUACUUUAUAAUUUUGGAGGCAAAUAAUUUCAAGUGUAAUGGGCCGGGGUGGGUGGGGGGCAUGAAUCUAAAGUUCAAAGGAAGUUUGGUGUUUGUUGUAAGAUAAAGCGUAUCUUAGUUUUCAAGCGAAGGGAGAAAGUAAGCUUUACUCGAAGAAAGAAACGGGCAGUCGAUUUGUUAAGCAGGAAACACAGAACAGGUCCAUAAAAAAGUGCGCGCUGUCUUGUGAAGUAGAUUUGGCCAGAAGAUUUUGAUGAAAGCAAUUCCCCAGUUUGCGACUAGUCUCUCUGUACAAAUUGUGUUCGUCUUUGGAGACGAGGAUCAGGCAGUUUCUCUUCUAAUGACCGUCACUGUGUCUAGCAAAGUGCAUUUUGUUGGGCUUUGGAAUCAGCUCUCCUUUUACUGUUGAAAUUCGGCCCUGUCAGCUGGGGAUACAUCCAUGCACGCUUCUAGUCCAGGCCUAUAUGUGUCUUUGUUUUGGGGUUGGGCUGAUGGGAUGGAAUUUAGCGUUCUUCUGGGCAGGAUUUUACAGACUCAUGUUUGGCCGGGCAGACGUUCGGCCCUCGAUCCGCCCCCCAGUCGCCAUGGCGAAGGAGAGAGAACUCUUCCUCACUCCUCUCCCUGGGUUGCUUUCUAACAUCUCUGUUGUCUUGGGAGAAAAUUUGCAAAACUGAUUAAAAACGGGCAAGUGCAUGACUUCUAUGAAAAUCGUGCAGCUUCACACCGUGGGACGUGUUUGCUUUGGCUGGCCUCUGUGGCAAGACUGACAUAUUUAUGUGGAAAGCUCCUAUUUAGUAUUUAACUUGGAAUUUUACACAUCUGAAUGAUAAAACUGAACAGACGCGAGAUUUUGCUGGUGUCGUCGUUUGCCCUGCUUCUUCUGAAACGUGAAGAAACCUGGAGUAGACGCAUUUCAACAUGGUCACCCCCUUGCUCGGCCACCAGAAUUCGUAAAUAGUCAGAUUCCUUGAUAAUGCUGCGGAGAUUGGGCACGAAGCAGCCACUGCGUUUGCUAUGCAGGAGAGUUAAUAAAAAUUUUCAUUGCUGGAGGAAAGCUUAUAUACAGUAGUCUGUUUGUCCUGUGUUUCCACCACCUGAGUCACAGCCAAAAAAGCAAUUGUCUACUACAUAUUUCAAACAGAUGCUGAGGGGUAGAAGGGGUGACUAGAAUUCGCAGCAAUAAAAGCCCGCUCUCCAAGUUCCCUUGAAGGAAGUGAACUCAUAAAAUUUUUGCUGCCGACCUAUUUGUCCAGUUCUUUGAAGUAUUUAACAUUAAUUUAGCCUGCAAAUCAUUGGCACCUCAGUUUUUCAUUGAAGUAUCCAGGAUCUGUUAAAGACAGACCGUGGGUGUGCCUGGGGAAAAAAAAAAGAUUCUGGAAGCAGUCUACUAAUUUCACUGUUAUUCGUGUACGUUGUUUUUAUCGAAGCCAAUAUUCUACGCGUUCAAAGUUCUCUAACUCAGAAACUGUUUCUUUUAAGUUUAUAUUUGCUUGUGUGGAUGAGUACAGAGAACACAGUUAGGUGGACGACCCGCUUUUUUUCUUUGGACUUCUUUCUGUUGGCGUUGAUACAUUUUGUAAUGUGCUGGUGGUGCUUAGGGGGGUAAUGACAGUAGGUACGAGAGUGAUAAAUGCCACCAGAAGAUCUUAUGAAAGGUGAAAAAUAAAAAUGGAGGGAUGCACUCUUAAACUGAAGUGUCCUCUCGCUAGAAUAUUAGUAGACAAGGUCUCCUACCUCAUUCAUCCAGGUGCUCUAAUUAAUUACCAGGCAUAAGGGAGACACUCUGUUCUUCUGGAAGCUUUUUCGUUUCUUUUCUUUAAAAACAUUUUUUAAUGUUUAUUUUUGAGAGAGAGAGAGAGAGAGAGAGCAAGAGAGAGAGCGGGGAAGGGGCAGAGAGAGAGGGAGACUCAGAAUCUGAAGCAGGCUGCAGGCUUUGAGCUCUCAGCCCACAGCCUGACCCGGGGUUCGCACUCGAAACCUGCGAGAUCAUGACCUGAGCCAAAGUCGGACAUCUAACCAACUGAGUCACCCAGGCGCCCCUUGGUUCUUUUCCAUCUAUUGACAAGUAGCAGUGGGUGGCUUAGGAACUGGAUGCUCUCAUCGUACCCCACUGCCUUCCCUGUUCCUUAUAGCUUCACAACUUUAAAAUGACCUUUUAAAAGAGCUCAGAAGGGACCUCAAAGAGGAAAGGAAUUACGAAACUUAAUGAAUCAGGUAAAACUUGGAGGUACCAAACGUGUAUGGGCCUUCAAUUUCUAUCUGACAGUUGGAGAGCUUAGGGAAGACUCUUCUGUGUAAAGAAGCUCCUGCAUGCACGCAUCACCCUCUCAUCUCCACCAUUUUGAUUUGCUAGAACAUGUGUUAUGAGCUGAAAUGAUCCUAGAUGGAUCUGCUGGUAAUUUGACUUUGGCCGCUGAAUGUACAUUUCCACAAGAUGGGGACUCUGUCACGUGCUCGGCUUUAUCUCUGGCACUUGGCGUGCAACAGGAACUCAGUAAGUACCUCGCUAGAGUGGGCACUUAUUCCAAAAAUCUCCACCGUCUUAACAUUAGACGUCUUAAAGGUUCUGGCUCUUCCUUCACUUAGACUAGACCUUCUGAAAGGAUCAUAUUGAUAACGUCUGUUUUGAAAGAGAUAUAAAGACAAAGACUGUGGGAAGCAAUGGUUAAUUAGAAUUCCAAGCUAGUAUUUAGUUACAUUUGUCCUACUAUUUUGGCCAGGUUUCAGUUAGCUAAGUAUCUCUUAUACCCUGUAAUUUAGUAUACAGUUUCAGCUUUCCAAAUAAUGGCUUGCUAAUGGUAAAUGUUGUUUAACUUUCUAAAUCAAGGGAGCUACCUGUUCAGCAGAAUUUAAAAAAUUGUAAGUGAUGAUUGAAACCAGGUUAAAAAGCACUUAAGGUACAUUUGACUGUAUGUUUGGCGUCUGUUUGGAUGGGCCCGUGGCUAUCAUUAUUCUUUUUGAAUCUGAACAUAAACAGCAGGUAGGGAUUUUUCUAAAUUGGUCCAGAACUAAGACUUACCUUUACUUAGCAAGCUUUUCCGAUCUGGGUAAAUAAUGCACCAUUUUUAUAGUUACUCUGAUCAGAAAUGUUUCUCUCCUUCUCCCCAGUGCCUUCAGUGAUAGGUGCUCCUAACUGUAGAUGGUUCUCUCUUAUUUAUUUCACUUAUCCAAACUUGUUUUUUUCUUCAUAAGACACAGUUCUGAUCCCUCUGUUCUCUUGUUUUCUAUUUCCUACUAAGUUCAUUAGUAUUCCUUAGCUUGGUAUGGGGGCAAUGUGAUGGAUUAAGAAUGACCACAGGGGCGCCUGGGUGGCUCAGUCGGUUAAGUGUCCCUCUCUUGAUUUCUGCUCAGGUCAUGAUCUCCCAGUUCAUGGGUGGAGCCUGCUGGGGAUUCUCUCCCCCUCUCCCUCUCCCUCUCCCUCUCC